UGUUUUGGUAGGUACCACAAAGGUGCGUACUUGUUUUUGCCCUCUUAUGUUAUGAGAACACAUGGAGCUAAGCAGCAACAUGAAGCAGUCAAAAGGGCUCCCAAGAAUCAACUAGAACCUGUUUUUGAGGCCCCGGAUACUCUUGGCUAUACCAAUGGAGGAUAAACAAAAGGGUGCUCAAUGGGAUAAACCAGAUAUGGGAUACAGGGCUAGUGGAGGACGUCUUGCUGACUUUGUGGAUCGUGAAGAUUGGAAGAAUUCAUAGGAAAUGGAAUUUUGAAGGGACUACUCCCAAAGUUGUUGGAAGAAGGUUGGGAUGAUGUACCAACCCUGAAGGUUAUGAGUUCAGAGGACAUGGAUUCAUUACAC